GUGCUUGCUUCAGCAGCAUGUUUACAAAAACUUGAAAGGUUCAGAGAUUUAGCACAGUCCCUGUGUGAAGAUGACACACAAAUUCAUGAAGCAUCCCAUAUUAAA